CGCAUGUGCCGCGCGCGCGCGGCAGCCGUUAUGUCUGACUGGGAGAGCGGCAGCGAUGAGGACACCGGCGGUGAUGCCGGCGCCGGGCGUGUGUGGCAGCCGCCGGCGAGCCCUCCGCAGAACUGCGCCUCCAUCGACAGCAGCGGGGAACGAAGGAGUACGGAGUGGCGGCGGGAGGCGGCGGUGGCCGGUCUUGGAAGGGAGGAGUGGGAGCCUCGAGGCGCUGAAGGCUCCCGCGGCCUGAGGGAGGCAGCGCGGCAGCGGCCGCCCCGAGCCGCCGCCGGCCAAACGCGGGACGCCGGGGCGCCCCUCUGUUUCCACCUCGAUAACGCCCUGGUCGGGGCUCUUAUAGGUCGGGGCGGAACUAAAAUAAGAGAACUUGAGGAUUCUUCAGGUGCCAGGAUAAAGGUUAUAAAAGGAACCUAUGAAGCUGAAGUAAAGAUUUUUGGCAGUGUUGCUGUGCAAAACAAAGCCAAGAUGUUGAUUGAUGACGCUGUUACAAGAUCUGGACAAAACUAUGUUAGAGGCGGGACUGAGAGAGGAACAAGCUUGGACAUGAUCAAGCCUGAAACUAACCGAAACAAAAUGGUGAUUGACUGGGCCUCUCUUCGUGAAAACAAAGCUAAAUAUGAAGCUAUGAAGUGGGCAGACUUGCCUCCAAUUGAGAAAAACUUCUAUAGAGAAUCCUCAAGGACUGCAUCUAUGUCACAAGAAGAAGUGCAGCUAUGGCGGAAAGAAAAUAAUAAUAUAAUUUGUGAUGACUUAAAAGAAGGUGAAAAGCGCUGCAUUCCCAAUCCUGUUUGUAAAUUUGAAGAUGUCUUUGAGCGUUAUCCUGAUAUUAUGGCUAAUAUAAGAAAAGUUGGUUUUCAAAAGCCUACACCAAUUCAGUCCCAGGCAUGGCCAAUUAUACUACAAGGAAUUGACCUUAUUGGCAUCGCACAGACUGGUACCGGGAAAACGUUAGCGUACUUAAUGCCUGGAUUCAUUCAUUUGACUUCACAGCCAAUAUCCAAAGAUCAGCGUGGGGGUCCAGGAAUGUUAGUCCUUGCUCCCACUCGAGAACUGGCACUUCAAGUAGAGACAGAGUGUUCAAAGUACUCAUACAGAGGAAUUAAAAGUAUUUGUAUAUAUGGUGGUGGGGACCGAAAAGGACAGAUAGACGUGGUUACCAAAGGUGUGGAUAUUGUUAUUGCUACUCCUGGCAGACUGAAUGAUCUUCAAAUGAACAACUUCAUAAAUUUGAAGAGCAUAACAUACUUGGUUUUAGAUGAGGCUGACAGAAUGCUGGAUAUGGGAUUUGAACCUCAGAUAAUGAAGAUCCUACUAGACGUGCGGCCUGACAGACAAACUGUUAUGACAAGUGCUACUUGGCCUGAUGGUGUUCGUCGCCUAGCGAAAUCCUAUCUGAAAAAUCCUAUGAUUGUUUAUGUUGGCACUCUUGACUUAGCAGCAGUAAAUACAGUAAAACAGAGUGUUAUUGUUAUCGCCGAGGAGGAAAAGAGAGCUUUCAUGCAAUACUUCAUUGACUCUAUGAAACCAAAAGAUAAAGUAAUCAUUUUUGUGGGAAGAAAAAUUAUAGCUGAUGACUUAGCAAGUGACUUUGGUCUCCAGGGAAUUCCAGUACAGUCACUUCAUGGUAACAGGGAACAGUGUGAUCGAGAACAGGCUUUAGAUGACUUCAAGACAGGCAAAGUCAGAAUACUGGUAGCUACUGAUCUGGCAUCCCGUGGCCUUGAUGUAGAUGACAUCACUCAUGUUUUUAACUUUGACUUCCCUCGCAACAUUGAAGAAUAUGUUCAUAGAGUAGGUCGUACUGGAAGAGCAGGACGUACUGGGGAGGCAGUAACGCUUGUCACCAAGAAUGACUGGAGGGUUGCAUCAGAACUGAUUGAAAUUCUGGAAAGAGGAAACCAAGUAAGGAUACAUCUCACCGAGUAAGAUUUGUAUUGAUUCUGGGUUACCACCUGAAGGAGUUCAUGAAGGUCUAAGCCUAUUUAGACCUUCCUUGGUAGUUCCCAAUGAUCUUAUUGCAAUGGCAAAAAGAUACAAAGAAUUUCAAAUCAGAAGAGAAGUUGAAAAGGAUAUACAAAGACCUCAGAGAAAGCCCUCAAAAUAACUAAUCUCUUGAAGUUACUGGAACAAAAGAACUGGACUAGUGAAUGUGAGCAAUGUUUGUCAGUGUGGCUUCAAAAUACUGUACUUUUGCAUUGGUGUGCCACAUCUGCCAGUGGAGUGCAGACAUAUUUCCAAGGAUAACUUUAAUUAAAAAGCGCUCUGUUUGCGGUAACUGAUUUCUGAAACCAGUAUCGUUUGGGGUUUUUAUUUUGUAACCUAAUAUUGAAAGGCAUUUAUAUGAAGACUUUUGUCUCAAACUUUUUUUGAGAGAUGUCUGCAUUUCCUAAUGGAGGAGAGCGCAAGUAGUAUGUGUUUGUGGCUAACUGGAAAAAUUUUUAAAAAUUAAAUUAGAAAACCCAGCCUCUGCUUUUGUUCUCAUGGAUGUAAUUUUCUAGCUUAAGAAAAACAAGAGUUUACUAGAGCAAUGUUAACAAAUUCAUGAAUAAAAAAAGACAUUGGAAUGUCAAGUUCUGUCACACAGACCCCUCAUGACAAUGGGAUAUGUUUUCAGUCUUUGGAAGUUAUGUGGGAAGGAGCUACUCCUUCAUUUGAUGCUUCGUCUGAACUUGUAUUUACUCAUGUGUCAUAUAAUUACAUGAAAAACUAAGAAACUGAAUCUAGUGAGAUGAGAAUAUUUUCUUAAUUAUUCUCUAAAUGUUCUUCUGGCCUUCCCUCAGUUUUAUUCCUCAUAACUGAGGUGAAAUCUGGGCAUUAUUUAAGACAGCAGGUUAUUUGCCUUCAAAAAGUAGGCUAAAAAUACGGACUCCCCAUGGCUGCUUUAAGAUGGAUUUACUUUACAGCACAGGAAAUAUUAUAAUUAUUAUUCUUUCCUAAUACAUGUGCUCUUCGACGUAAGAAAAAUAGAGCUGAAUUCUGAGAAUGUCCGAUUUGUGCUCCAUUGUGGUUUUGAUAACCUUUCACAUGGAGACUCUUCCUCCUUGAUAUGGGUUGAAGAUCAAUUUCUUUCUACACAAUUCAUCACACAAAUGCUUGUUGUCACAGUAACUUUUAGCCUGUUGCAGCACAUUAGAUAAUUAUUUCUCCCCAUCCAAAGUCCCAUGAAAAGACUAAUUUCCAAACAAAUUCUGAAGACUCAGAAAAGAUAAGUUAUUUCAGGAACUUCAUUUUAUUUUGAUACCAUAUUCUCUGGGCACUGUUGCUGGUGAUUGUUCUCUGCAAAAGGUCUUCAUCCACCCAGCUGAUCUGGAGACAUUGUUCUGGUUUAUGUCAAAGCAAUUCCAGUGUUUUGGUUUUUCUUCUUUUGAAUGCAAAAGUGUAUUUUGGAUAUUCUGCAGUGGAUCUUCAUUUUAAAUAAAAUUGUCAGUUUUCACUUUA